CCUGGUUGAUCCUGCCAGUAGUCAUAUGCUUGUCUCAA
rnacentral:rRNA from 1 species